rnacentral:sRNA from 1 species
GUCUCCUUCGCCCCGCUUGCGUGGAGAAGGUCGCGGCAGCGGGAUGAGGGGCGGCGUUCCCUCAUUCCGCUCCAAGGU